rnacentral:misc_RNA from 1 species
AACGCACAUUGCGCCCCUUGGUAUUCCGAGGGGCACGCCUGUUCGAGCGUCAUUUAAACCAUCAAGCCCUGCUUGGUCUUGGACGCGGUCGAGUGACCCGUCCGUAACCCGUUGGCGGUGCAGUCCGGCUUCAAGCGUAGCAAGAAUCUCGCUUCAGGAGUCCGCGGCGGCGCCUGCCAGGAAACACCACCCAAAGUUUGACCUCGGAUCAGGUGAGGAUACCCGCUGAACUUAA